CCUACGGGUGGCAGCAGUGAGGAAUAUUGGUCAAUGGACGAGAGUCUGAACCAGCCAAGUAGCGUGAAGGAUGACUGCCCUAUGGGUUGUAAACUUCUUUUAUAUGGGAAUAAAAUGUUCCAAGUGUGGGAUUUUGUAUGUACCAUAUGAAUAAGGAUCGGCUGGCUCCGUGGCAGCAGCCGCGGUAAUACGGAGGGUCUGGGCGUUAUCCGGAUUUAGUGGGUUUAAAGGGCGCGGAGGUGGAUUGUUAAGUCAGUUGUGAAAGUUUGCGGCUCAACCGUAAAAUUGCAGUUGAAACUGGCAGGCUUGAGUACAGUAGAGGUGGGCGGAAUUCGUGGUGUAGCGGUGAAAUGCUUAGAUAUCACGAAGAACUCCGAUUGCGAAGGCAGCUCACUGGACUGCAACUGACACUGAGGCUCGAAAGUGUGGGUAUCAAACAGGAUUAGAUACCCGGGUAGUC
rnacentral:rRNA from 1 species